GCCGAACAGACUUUUCCCUUUCUUGCUGAUGUUGGUCAUCCCAUUCUCCAGCAGCUCUAUGCUGACUAGGUGUUGGCUUUUCUGACUCUCUACAGGAACUGGUACCUUAGUUGCUGUGGAAUUCACAUGAAGGGUAGUAUAGGCUGAGGAAAAAGAACUGAAGACAGUUUUUCUCACCUCCAUUAAAGAUACAGAUGUGUCACUGUGCAGCUCUUGUGAACAGCAUCGUCUAGUAGACUGUCGAAUUUCUUGCUUAUCUGAUGAAUUACAGGAAUGUUUCCACAGAUGCUACCUGGUGCAAUUAAGAAGUGAAGGUAGCAACGCUGGAAAUACUUCAGCUGGUUCAGUCAGUUUUGAAGAAACAAUGCCAUUAAAGAGACCUGUAAUCAAACAGGCCUGCAAAUAGUAAUCACUGG